rnacentral:rRNA from 1 species
AUUGAACGCUGGCGGCAGGCCUAACACAUGCAAGUCGAACGAGUGGCGGACGUGUGAGUAAUGUCUGGGAAACUGCCUGAGGGAGGGGGAUAACUACUGGAAACGGUAGCUAAUACCACAUACCAGCAGCUUGACCCAGAUGGGAUUAGCUUGUUGGUGGGGUAACGGCUCACCAGGGCGACGAUCCCUAGCUGGUCUGAGAGGAUGACCAGCCACACUGGAACUGAGACACGGCCCAGACUCCUACGGGAGGCAGCAGUGGGGAAUAUUGCACAAGGGGCGCAAGCCGGAUGCAGCCAUGCCGCGUGUAUGAAGAAGGCCUUAGGGUUGUAAAGUACUUUCAGUGGGGAGGCGUUACCCACAGAAGAAGCACCGGCUAACUCCGUGCCAGCAGCCGCGGUAAUAC